rfam:Asian citrus Psyllid, Diaphorina citri - Florida Strain, whole genome shotgun sequence.
CACAGCGGAAAUAGCAUGUUGAAUGCACCAGUUCCCAAUGGAUCACUGAAGUUAAGCAACAUUGCGCUUGGUUAGCAUUUGGAUGGGUGAUUAUCUCAGCAAAUCACAUGCUGCUCCCA